ACUCAAGAAAUGAAUCUUCAUAUAUGGUUUCGACCCAUAAUUAGGUAAAUAUUUACCCUUGUUUA
rnacentral:tRNA from 1 species